UUAAAUGUGGACUUUAUAAUUUAUAUUCCUAUUAACACUCCAGGCUAAUUUAUUUUACGUACUUAUACGAUAAGAAACGCCUGAAAACAGAUGGCGCCCAGAGUUUCGCUUUCGUGCCAGAGCUGUUUCUACACAGUCAGCCUGAGAACGGGCUGCAUCAUAAUCGCAGUCAUAUACAUAAUAGAGCCGCUUCUUGCCUUAGCCUAUAUGGCAUUCGAUAAAACUAGUGGUUACUUGGCCGGAAUUAUAUAUACAUGGGUCAUAAUUAUAGCAUGCCAAAGUGGGAUUUAUUUGUAUUUUGGUAUUUGGAAGG